GAAAUGCGAUAAGUAAUGCGAAUUGCAGAAUUCCAGUGAGUCAUCGAAUCUUUGAACGCACAUUGCGCCCUUUGGUAUUCCGAAGGGCAUGCCUGUUCGAGCGUCAUUAUCAACCCUCAAGCGCUGGCUUGUCGUUGGACGGUUUGGCACGGUCACACGUGCCUCCUCCUAAAACUAAUGACGGCGUCCCUGGGACCCUCGGUACACUGAGUCUUGACGGACACGUACCGCAGUUUGGACCUGGGUGACCCGGCCUGCCGGUGUCGUAACAGACACCAUUUUUACAAGGUUGACCUCGGAUCAGGUAGGGAUACCCGCUGAACUUAA
rnacentral:misc_RNA from 1 species